GGGGGCAUAGCUCAGCUGGGAGAGCAACAGACUGAAGUGUGCUGUUUUCUGGAGGUCCCCAGUUCAAUCCUGGGUGCCCCCA